UCAUCUAUCUUGGUGGGGAGUCUUAUUAAAAUGCUGAUUUUGAUCCUGUGGGUCUCUGGUGGGGUCUAAGAUCUGCAUUUCUAAGAAUCUCCCAAGUGAUACUGAU
rnacentral:pre_miRNA from 1 species